rnacentral:rRNA from 1 species
GACGAACGCUGGCGGCGUGCUUAACACAUGCAAGUCGAACGGAAAGGCCCUUCGGGGUACUCGAGUGGCGAACGGGUGAGUAACACGUGGGUGAUCUGCCCUGCACUUUGGGAUAAGCCUGGGAAACUGGGUCUAAUACCGAAUAGGACCACGCGCUGCAUGGUGUGUGGUGGAAAGCUUUUGCGGUGUGGGAUGGGCCCGCGGCCUAUCAGCUUGUUGGUGGGGUAAUGGCCUACCAAGGCGACGACGGGUAGCCGGCCUGAGAGGGUGACCGGCCACACUGGGACUGAGAGACGGCCCAGACUCCUACGGGAGGCAGCAGUGGGGAAUAUUGCACAAUGGGCGCAAGCCUGAUGCAGCGACGCCGCGUGAGGGAUGACGGCCUUCGGGUUGUAAACCUCUUUCAAUAGGGACGAAGCGCAAGUGACGGUACCUAUAGAAGAAGCACCGGCCAACUACGUG